rfam:Otolemur garnettii contig177573, whole genome shotgun sequence.
UUGCUUUGAGAGCACAUAUACUAAAAUUGGAGCGAUAUAGAGAAGACCAGCAUGGCCCCUGCAUGAGGAUGACAUGCAAUGAUAGCAAAAAAGAUGAUCUGAUGAUUUU